GCCAGUGUGGUGUAGUGGUUUGAGCGUUGGACUAUGACCCUGGGCAACCAGGGUUCAAAUCCCAGCUCAGCCA